UAGUCCACGCCGUAAACGAUCAUCACUCGCUGUUGGCGAUAUACUGUCAGCGGCCAAGCGAAAGUAUUAAGUGAUGCACCUGGGGAGUACGCCGGCAACGGUGAAACUCAAAGGAAUUGACGGGGGCCCGCACAAGCGGUGGAGCAUGUGGUUUAAUUCGAUGAUACGCGAGGAACCUUACCAGGGCUUAAAUGUAGAGUGACAGGUCUAGAGAUAGAUUUUUCUUCGGACACUUUACAAGGUGCUGCAUGGUUGUCGUCAGCUCGUGCCGUGAGGUGUCAGGUUAAGUCCUAUAACGAGCGCAACCCCUGUUGUUAGUUGCCAGCGAGUGAUGUCGGGAACUCUAACAAGACUGCCAGUGCAAACUGUGAGGAAGGUGGGGAUGACGUCAAAUCAUCACGGCCCUUACGUCCUGGGCUACACACGUGCUACAAUGGUAGGGACAGAGAGCAGCCACUUCGCGAGAAGGAGCGAAUCUACAAACCCUAUCAC
rnacentral:rRNA from 1 species